GUGCUGAGCAGAGUCUCGCGGUGUAAAGAGCAAUUAAAACUUCGCACAGUUUUUACCAAACAAACCAUUUACAAAGAACAAGGUCAGGGAGGAGACAGACCAGAUAGCCUACAGCAGCAGGGAUCAUAAUGCAGACUUUCCUCAGGUAAGGAGAAAUGAUGACUAUUAUUCUUGAAGUGGAACAGUCUUUAAAAAUUGGUGUAUAGUUUGAAGUCUCUGCUUUUGACAAUUUGUAACAGAGUCUCAGACAAUUAACCACAGAAAGAUGGAGGUUAAAUCACAUGACUGGAUCACAUGUUGUUGAGAAACCAGACAGGUAUCAGGACAGGGUUUUCAUUGAUAUUUCAAAAGUACCAUUCAUACUCAAAAAUAUUUUUUAUUUUAUUAUUGUUUCUGCUUUGGUCCAAAAUAAAUCUAGAAUUUAUAAUAUUAUUUUGUUAUUUACCGGCAGUUAACAAAGAGAUGAUUGAUAGUCUUAGUUCAAAAGCAAAAACUGACAUGAAUGUUUAAAGAUGUAGUUUCAUUUUUGUUUAUUAUAUAGAUGAAUGACAUUUUUGUUUAUUAUUCAUUUUCAUAUAUUACUAUACUGCAUUAUUUGUGUUCUUAAGGACAGCGGGUGUGGGUCAUACAAUUUUUCUUUAUUUUGCUUAGUUUUGCACAUCUUUGCGGUCACAUUUACUAAAAUGUUGAUGUGUUUA